CGUUCGAGGCUUUUUCUAGGAGCUUAAAUUUUUUUAAAGAUCGAUUCUUUCUGGUUACUCUUAUCCGCCCAGAAGUUCAUGCAACGGUAUGCGCCAUUAGAGACAGAGCGAAGGGUAAAUAUGCUGAGUUGUUCCCCAUGUAUUAGACCGAGAGUCAUUUCCUCAUGGAAAAUGGGUUAUACGUAUACAAAGAGGAAUAUCUUUCACAAGAAGAGUUGUUUGUAUUAUUAGAAGCAGAUGAUGAGUUUCAUCAAUGAUAUGGGUUAUUUUGGGGGC
rnacentral:lncRNA from 1 species